UACAGAGGUCUCAAGCGUUGUUCGGAUUCAUUGGGCGUAAAGGGUGCGUAGGUGGCGCCGUAAGUCAGGUGUGAAAUUUCGGAGCUUAACUCCGAAACUGCAUUUGAUACUGCGGUGCUUGAGGACUGGAGAGGAGACUGGAAUUCACGGUGUAGCAGUGAAAUGCGUAGAUAUCGAGAGGAACACCUGCGGCGAAGGCGGGUUGCUGGGCUGACACUGACGCUGAACUGCGAAAGCUAGGGGAGCGAACGGG
rnacentral:rRNA from 1 species